ACGCUGGCGGCAGGCCUAACACAUGCAAGUCGAGCGGUAGAGAGAAGCUUGCUUCUCUUGAGAGCGGCGGACGGGUGAGUAAUGCCUAGGAAUCUGCCUGGUAGUGGGGGAUAACGUCCGGAAACGGACGCUAAUACCGCAUACGUCCUACGGGAGAAAGCAGGGGACCUUCGGGCCUUGCGCUAUCAGAUGAGCCUAGGUCGGAUUAGCUAGUUGGUGGGGUAAUGGCUCACCAAGGCGACGAUCCGUAACUGGUCUGAGAGGAUGAUCAGUCACACUGGAACUGAGACACGGUCCAGACUCCUACGGGAGGCAGCAGUGGGGAAUAUUGGACAAUGGGCGAAAGCCUGAUCCAGCCAUGCCGCGUGUGUGAAGAAGGUCUUCGGAUUGUAAAGCACUUUAAGUUGGGAGGAAGGGCAGUUACCUAAUACAUGAUUGUUUUGACGUUACCGACAGAAUAAGCACCGGCUAACUCUGUGCCAGCAGCCGCGGUAAUACAGAGGGUGCAAGCGUUAAUCGGAAUUACUGGGCGUAAAGCGCGCGUAGGUGGUUCGUUAAGUUGGAUGUGAAAUCCCCGGGCUCAACCUGGGAACUGCAUUCAAACUGACGAGCUAGAGUAUGGUAGAGGGGUGGUGGAAUUUCCUGUGUAGCGGUGAAAUGCGUAGAUAU
rnacentral:rRNA from 1 species